GAGUUUGAUCAUGGCUCAGAUUGAACGCUGGCGGCAUGCCUUACACAUGCAAGUCGAACGGCAGCACGGGAGCUUGCUCCUGGUGGCGAGUGGCGAACGGGUGAGUAAUGCAUCGGAACGUAUCCUGGAGUGGGGGAUAACGUAGCGAAAGUUACGCUAAUACCGCAUAUUCUGUGAGCAGGAAAGCGGGGGACCUUCGGGCCUCGCGCUCUUGGAGCGGCCGAUGUCGGAUUAGCUAGUUGGUGAGGUAAAGGCUCACCAAGGCGACGAUCCGUAGCAGGUCUGAGAGGAUGAUCUGCCACACUGGAACUGAGACACGGUCCAGACUCCUACGGAGGCGGCAGUGGGGAAUUUUGGACAAUGGGGGCAACCCUGAUCCAGCCAUGCCGCGUGAGUGAAGAAGGCCUCGGUUGUAAG
rnacentral:rRNA from 1 species